CUUCAUAUAUAUAUUUUUGAGUUUAUUUUUAAAUUUAAGAUAUCUGACUGCCAGUAAAAUGAGAUUACAAAUAAAAUAGGGUAUGGCAAACAUCACGAAAAUCAAAUACAUUCAUGUUUGCCUGCAUAACCCUCACAUGAUGGCCAGCAAUGGGCACGAAACUGUGACAAGUGCUUCCUCGACAGCAUCGCAUCAUUCAACAGCAAUUUGAACAUCAAUUAUGAGUCGCAGCAGUGAAUGGGCUGCCAUGCCUCCAAAAUGUGUGGGGAGGGGCGGGGGUGUUCGACGUGUGCUCAUCCUCAUCAUCAUGAGCACCACUCGGCAUGCAGAGGCAUUCACAAAAAAAAAUACAAAAUACAAAGAAGAGAAUAAAAUGAAAGGGUGGCUUGUGCCAAGAUGCAGCACAAAAGACCGACGAACGACAACGACGACGACAACGAGAAGCCGCCGCAGCAGCCGCAGUGUAACCUACUUUUAAGUCACUUUAAGAGCUGCCUCAACAUUUCCCCAGCAUCACUCCCCAACCCUUUCCCACUUCUCUUCAACCUUCUCUUCGUUCUGUGUCAAUCUGUGUAUCUGGCCAAUUACGAGUGACCCAAAUCAAUCUGUUCUCAGGGUCAUUCCGAAAACGAAAACCACAAUAAUGUCGCCGCUUACACAACUGUUGCUCAAUUAUGAAAAUUGUGGCCAGUUAAAAAAGGUAAAUGGUAAUAUCUCCAGCUCUAAGCUUG